UCCGCGGUAGCUCAGUGGUAGAGCAGUCGGCUGUUAACCGAUUGGUCGCUGGUUCGAAUCCAGCCCGCGGAG
rnacentral:tRNA from 5 species